rnacentral:lncRNA from 1 species
CUCAUCCUGGCUGCUCUCACCGUGGCCUGUCCAGAUGCAGGAGCUCCUCUCUGAAUCUGGGGCUACUGGCAGAACCAGUAAACACGUAGUUACUCCUGUACUGAGCUGAGUAAAAUAAUCUGACUGAGAGGAUACGCUGACCUCAGUUUCGACAAAUGCAUUUGGCACCAAGCCCUGCAAGGGCUCCACGGAGCAGCUUUGGGGGAGACCUGCCUGCAGGAACAUGUACCCCACCCAACAUGUCCUGGGAGCCUCGUUUGGGGUACAAACAACAGGAAAGCAUUGAUGCAUUUUUCAAAAUCCAGCAGGAGGGAACCGUGGGCUGUGGAUGCUGGCUGGGAAAGCUCCUCGGGCACAGCCCUGUGGGCAGGGAGGGGAGGAGGGCUCAGCCCCCACACAGGCCGCCUGGCACCAGGAGUCACAGGCCUCAGCCGUGGGAUGUCCCCAGAGUUCCAACCGCCACUCUUGCAGAAGCAGCCCAGCAGGGUGAGGGUGGGGGCCACGUGGGGCUCAGCUGCAGGAGGGACGCCAGGUCCUGCACUUCUCACCCGCAGUGACCUUGGGCAGGGCAUUCAUUCCUUGGGAGAAAUUUCCUCGUUGGUGAAAUGAAAUCACUGCUUGGCUUCAGCCACAUAAUGUUAGGCACGAACUGCAGCCCAGGCAACCUCAGACCCUCAGGAAAUCAAUAGAGGGGUGCCAGCUCCCUGCACAGGUCCCGGCCUAACUCGGGAUGCCACUCAGGGCCCUCGUCUUCCCAUCCUGUGGCUCUGUCCUCACGAGGCCCCAGAGGUGCUCUUGUCCCUUCCCUUUCAGUCCCUCAGCCAGUGGGCAGCACACAGCCACCCAAACACAAGAGGCCAGGACCAUGGACAGCAGGGAGCACAGAGCCCAGGCCUCCGUGAUCCUAGGAACACGCAGCAUCCGGGAACACGGAAAGGAAAGAUGGAGACAUGGGGCGGGAGGAAGCUGAGCAGGGACACAGUACCCCCUUGCAUCACGGACAUGCCUGGCCAGAGCGACCUGACGCAAGAAGCCAGCCCAACUGCUCCUGUCCCUGAAAUGUCCGGAGAGAGGGCUAGCAGGGAGGCUGGCGCCUGGGCCAAGAGAGGGGCUACUCGGUUCUUCCAGAACAUUCCAGUGUGGCCCAUGGACGCCGGCCUUCUGGUGUCCAUUCUGUCCUGUGUCACUUCGGUUGAUGAGCUGCUUGAGACCAGAACUGCCCGAAUCCAGAACCGCCCACUACCUUCUGUGAGGCUGUGGCCAGAAAGCAAGCCAGACUUCUGAAGCUGCCUGGGCCUGUCCGGACCCAGGAGAAUCUGGCCGUGAAGGAGGAUAAAGGAGGAAGCCAGGCCUGGCACAGGGACAGGGUGGGGACCCAGUGAGAUCUCCAGGGAGGAAGCCAGG